rnacentral:rRNA from 1 species
AGAGUUUGAUCCUGGCUCAGGAUGAACGCUAGCGGCAGGCUUAAUACAUGCAAGUCGAGGGGCAGCAGGGGUGUAGCAAUACACUCGCUGGCGACCGGCAAACGGGUGCGGAACACGUACGCAACCUACCCAAAACUGGGGGAUAGCCCGGGGAAACCCGGAUUAAUACCUCGUAACAUUAUGGAGUGGCAUCACUUUAUAAUUAUAGCUCCGGCGGUUUUGGAUGGGGGUGCGCCUGAUUAGGUAGUUGGCGGGGUAACGGCCCACCAAGCCUACGAUCAGUAACUGGUGUGAGAGCACGACCAGUCACACGGGCACUGAGACACGGGCCCGACUCCUACGGGAGGCAGCAGUAAGGAAUAUUGGUCAAUGGACGCAAGUCUGAACCAGCCAUGCCGCGUGAAGGAUGAAGGUCCUCUGGAUUGUUAACUUCUUUUAUAUGGGACGAAACCCUGGUAUUCCUACCAGAUUGACGGUACCAUAGGAAUAAGCACCGGCUAACUCCGUGCCAGCAGCCGCGGUAAUACGGAGGGUGCAAGCGUUAUCCGGAUUCACUGGGUUUAAAGGGUGCGUAGGAGGGCAGGUAAGUCAGUGGUGAAAUCUCCGGGCUUAACUCGGAAACUGCCGUUGAUACUAUCUGUCUUGAAUAUCGUGGAGGUGAGCGGAAUAUGUCAUGUAGCGGUGAAAUGCUUAGAUAUGACAUAGAACACCAAUUGCGAAGGCAGCUCGCUACACGAAUAUUGACUCUGAGGCACGAAAGCGUGGGGAUCAAACAGGAUUAGAUACCCUGGUAGUCCACG